GUGCUUCACACAUGCAAGUCGAACGAGGUAGCAAUACCUAGUGGCGGACGGGUGAGUAACGCGUGGGAAUCUGCCUUUAGAUGGGGGAUAACGGGUCGAAAGACUCGCUAAUACCGCAUAUGACGAAAGUUGAAAGGAGUAAUCCGUCUAAAGAUGAGCCCGCGUCCGAUUAGCUAGUUGGUAGAGUAAAAGCCUACCAAGGCGACGAUCGGUAGCUGGUCUGAGAGGAUGAUCAGCCACAAUGGGACUGAGACACGGCCCAUACUCCUACGGGAGGCAGACAGUGGGGAAUUUUACGCAAUGGGCGAAAGCCUGACGUAGCGACACCGCGUGAGCGAAGAAGCCCCUUGGGGUGUAAAGCUCUGUCAGCUGGAACGAAAAAAAUGACGGUACCAGCAGAGGAAG
rnacentral:rRNA from 1 species